rnacentral:tRNA from 3 species
CAGAAAGUAAUUUAAAUCAGAAUGCUAGCUUUGGGAGCUAGUAGUGGGGGUUAAAGUCCCCUCUAUCUGA